AACCUUCUCUCCAGAAACAGGAUCUGCAACAGGGUCCUCAACUGCAGCCUGCUUCAGAAACACAUUGCCCCUGGUAGCACGAAAAAGUAUCCUUUCAAAUGCCAUAGACUUUUCCCGAGGAACAAGACCAGAGAGAAAUCCCAAAUUAACCGGCUUUGACUGAUCCACAAACGAUUCUUGUUCCAACAACAACGGAACUUCUAUUGAAUCUCCACCAAUUCGCCGUGAUUCAAACUCCCUUUGCUGCUCUACGGCACUGCUCUGUGCUGCACUGAAAAACUCUCCAGCCUUCUGGAGAACAAGCUUAUACUCCACAAGUUCGUUGUAGGAACGCUGCAGCUUCUCACUAUUAGCAUUUAUCUCAACCAGUUCUGCCUCAAGCUCACCAAGUUUGAUCUCAAGGUCAUCUAUAUUGAUAUCAACUUGUGACACAGAGCUUUUGCUUGACAAUCCAGCCUUCAACAUCUGUUCCUUGAAAAAAUUCAAUUUGCGUGCCAUCUCUCCACAUCUUUUAAUCUGUGCAGCAUAAGUACGCUGGAAUGGGCUUUUAUCGGCAUUGAGAUCUUUGAACUGAAGAAGGCCGAGAUCACCGAGGUAGGAGAUGGUGCGAUGCGCAGACUCGAUUGGAAUGAUGAGCUGGACCAGCUGCAUCGGCUCGGAGCGGAAGAGAUCCAUGGAUGGACAGCAACCACCACGGGUAUCGCCCAUUGUUGCAAGAGCUGCCUCGGAUGCAAAUCUUCAGGGCCAAUCUGUGAA
rnacentral:misc_RNA from 1 species